GACGAACGCUGGCGGCGUGCUUAACACAUGCAAGUCGAACGGAAAGGCCCUGCUUUUGUGGGGUGCUCGAGUGGCGAACGGGUGAGUAACACGUGAGUAACCUGCCCUUGACUUUGGGAUAACUUCAGGAAACUGGGGCUAAUACCGGAUAGGAGCUCCUGCUGCAUGGUGGGGGUUGGAAAGUUUCGGCGGUUGGGGAUGGACUCGCGGCUUAUCAGCUUGUUGGUGGGGUAGUGGCUUACCAAGGCUUUGACGGGUAGCCGGCCUGAGAGGGUGACCGGCCACAUUGGGACUGAGAUACGGCCCAGACUGCUACGGGAGGCAACAGUGGGGAAUAUUGCACAAUGGGCGGGAGCCUGAUGCAGCGGCGCCGCGUGCGGGAUGACGGCCUUCGGGUUGUAAACCGCUUUCGCCUGUGACGAAGCGUGAGUGACGGUAAUGGGUAAAGAAGCACCGGCUAACUACGUG
rnacentral:rRNA from 1 species